UACAGAGGUCUCAAGCGUUGUUCGGAUUCAUUGGGCGUAAAGGGUGCGUAGGCGGCUCGGUAAGUCGGGUGUGAAAUCUCGGAGCUUAACUCCGAAACUGCAUUCGAUACUGCCGUGCUUGAGGACUGGAGAGGAGACUGGAAUUUACGGUGUAGCGGUGAAAUGCGCAGAUAUCGGGAGGAACACCAAUGGCGAAGGCAGCUUGCUGGGACGGUACUGACGCUGAGACGCGAAAGCGUGGGGAGCAAACAGG
rnacentral:rRNA from 1 species